GGAGUGAUGAAGAUACCUGUGAAAGGGAAGAUAAGACAACAAAUGAUAUAACUACAGAUAUCUCAAAUGGAAUUCUAAAAACACUGAAGCCAUUAGAAAGAAAAAACAAAAAAUCUACAAGAAAAAUACCAAAUCAUACACUGGCCAACAAAACGCUUUCAUUCUUCAUAAAAAGUUACACUCCUCAAGAAUAGAAACAACAAUGUGGAACAAAGACGACAU